GCAGUCGAGGGGUAUAGUAGCAAUACUAGAGACCGGCGCACGGGUGCGUAACGCGUAUGCAAUCUACCUUUCACAGAGGGAUAGCCCAGAGAAAUUUGGAUUAAUACCUCAUAGUAUAUAGACCUGGCAUCAGGAUUAUAUUAAAGUCACAACGGUGAAAGAUGAGCAUGCGUCCCAUUAGCUAGUUGGUAUGGUAACGGCAUACCAAGGCGACGAUGGGUAGGGGUCCUGAGAGGGAGAUCCCCCACACUGGUACUGAGACACGGACCAGACUCCUACGGGAGGCAGCAGUGAGGAAUAUUGGACAAUGGGCGCAAGCCUGAUCCAGCCAUGCCGCGUGCAGGAUGACGGUCCUAUGGAUUGUAAACUGCUUUUGCACAGGAAGAAACAACGCUACGUGUAGCGUCUUGACGGUACUGUGAGAAUAAGGAUCGGCUAACUCCGUGCCAGCAGCCGCGGUAAUACGGAGGAUCCAAGCGUUAUCCGGAAUCAUUGGGUUUAAAGGGUCCGUAGGCGGCUUUAUAAGUCAGUGGUGAAAUCUCCCCGCUCAACGGGGAAACGGCCAUUGAUACUGUAAGGCUUGAAUUAUUAGGAAGUAACUAGAAUAUGUAGUGUAGCGGUGAAAUGCUUAGAGAUUACAUGGAAUACCAAUUGCGAAGGCAGGUUACUACUAAUGGAUUGACGCUGAUGGACGAAAGCGUGGGUAGCGAACAGGA
rnacentral:rRNA from 1 species